rnacentral:rRNA from 1 species
UACGUAGGCAGCGAGCGUUGUUCGGAAUUACUGGGCGUAAAGAGUGUGUAGGCGGUGCUCUAAGUUCGGUGUGAAAUCUCCCGGCUUAACUGGGAGGGUGCGCCGGAAACUGGAGUGCUCGAACGUGGGAGAGGAAAGCGGAAUUCCCAGUGUAGCGGUGAAAUGCGUAGAGAUUGGGAGGAACACCAGAGGCGAAGGCGGCGACCUGGACAAGCACUGACACUCAACCACGAAAGCGUGGGUAGCAAACAGG